GGAGGCCCCUGAAGUAAAGUCCUCCGUCAUUGUUAACAGUAAACAGCUGUUUUUAGUUCACGACUUUAAACCCUCAAACAAAGUAUGUUUCACUCCUAACGGGUGACUUACAUCUAAUGACUCACAUUUAGUGACUCACAUUUAAUGACUACAGUUAGACGGUUGUUCGUGCCUGGGAAAGCAACCGUUUGGGGAAAACGUGCGCCUUGUGUUUUUUCUGCGUAUUGUCUGAUUGUCGCCUCAGUCUGCCUGGCAGGCAGGACAUCUGGGCAAAAAACUAAAACACAGCGUCAUAAAACAGUGUUUUUAUAAGUUAUAAAUGAAGAAAUUUAACAACAAUUUUCAGCUUUAAGAAAGCAGAUCACGAACGACGGAUUUUAGUGACCGUUUCACAAAAGCAGUUUUUGAAGAAUUAGUUUGACAAAUGAUUGGCGUCAUAAAUUGCAGAUUUUUCUGCCUGUUGCUGUGAUUUUCUGCCCAGAUCUGGAAGGUUGUAGAAAUCCGUCCAGCGAGCCGCUGCAGGAUCAGCAGCGCUGCGGCGAGAAGGCUUUCUACGACCUCUGAACGUCCAUCAAACUGCCUGCCAGGCGGCAUGUUGGGGUUGCUGUUUCUCACAUCAGAAGAACUUUUUUUAUUUAUCUUUUUUACUUUAAGUUAACUUUUAUGAACAGAUUCAUUCAGAGAACUUGUGCUGCGGACACCGGUGAGCAGUGAGCUGAUGUUUCUGAGCGAGGACAAGCUGGUUGAUUGUCACUAAGACUCCCCGUCUUAGUGACAAUGUCUGAAACGGCGGCGGGCAGCUCGGUGGCGUGUCCGGCCGCAGCUCUGGGGAAACAAGAGCCUGUCAAUCACUUCUUCGGGUGUUCGGCCACGAAACCAACCAUCAGUUUCUAAAAAUGGAGAAAAAGCUGCCAGACCCAGAGCAGCAGACGACCCUCAGGCUGCAGAAACUCUCAUGGACGUCCUCGUGGUCGGAGGAGCUGUGUUCCCCGAGGGGAGGAAAGUGGGUUUGAAUUCGCUGAAAAAAAUCUGAGAGGAAAUGAAAGGAUGCUUCUUACUGAACGAUUCAUUUCCUGUUUGGAUGAAGUCGCAGGAAACGGAGGAGGAACAUCAAGUGAUAAGUUUCCUUCUUUUCUGGGUUUAUUUCUGUAAUGUCACCUCAUGGCCCUGCUGGAGGUCUUAACCCUCAGAUUGAACACCGCCGUCGUAUCCUCCCUUCACUUGGUGAAUAUUUAAAAGCAUUGGAGGCUCUCCGGAGGGGUCCUCUCUGCAGGGAGGGGGCCGAUCCUUCGCCUGCAGGAGAGAAACAUCGACAGAAACCAAAAGCGUAUUUCUUUGUCUUUAUUUCUGUUUCUGAAGAGACUGCCAUCGUCUCCGUGCUGAAGCCUCUGCUGACUGAGCGCAGCGGGAUCACAUCUGACUGUGAUGGAUGGAUUUUACUUUUUUGGGUUGAAAGUUUUCUAUAAAGGAUUCGGGGCCUCGCAGACAUCAGAGAUGGAAAAUAUAAAAAAGGCCCAGCAGGAUUUCAUCAGCGCACAACUGAGAACCGCUGAAGAGUUUCAUUUCAACAAUAAUAAGGAUCCAUUUUUUAAAUUAGCCCGUCGUCGUUCUGUCUAACUCGGGUUUUAUUUUCAUGGCGUUUUAUCUUCGCUGGCACUGAGUCGCCUGCUGAGCUUCAAAAAGCGUCAAGAUUUCUGUUAAUGCUGGAGAAUCUGUUCAGUGACAACAGUGACGGAUAAAAACGUUGUUUUCAUAGCAAACAUUUCUGACUCUUUGAAGCAGAAAAUCUGUCCCCUUUUUCAAAUUUGGACAGAAUGUUUCUCAUAUUUCUGGAUUCAAAACAUCCAAAUUUGCACUUUCUGCGUCUUCUGUCUUCACCUCGACUACCUGGAGUCUUUUAAUCCAAAUUUGGACACAAUUUCACAAUUUUGGACACAAAAUGUUCCCAAAAAGAGACGCUUGUCUGUCCCGUCUAAGCUUCACCCAGGCUCUGUCUUUUUUAAUUUUCUAUUACACAUUUAAAAAAGAAAGCAUUCUACCCCAAACUGAUUUAAAUGCCUUUAGAGGAGCGUAACCCGACUCCACCCGGAUAUUUAAAAAAUCAUCUGUCAAAUUUGGACAAAAAUACCUUUUUGGGUCGAGCGCGCUGGAAUCACCAACGCUGGCUGUGAUUGGCUGAGACGCUGGCACAGUUUUAUGUUUUUUUGGGAUUUUCUUGCUCUUCAGUCGUCCUCAGUUUGUCUGAGGGGAAAUGAAGCUUCUGAUGGAAAGAUCCUCGAUCUUAUUCUGAAAAUGUAAAGUCUAUACACACACACACACACACUUUUAUUAUUGUUCCCCACAGCAGUGAGGACACACACACGCACACACUCAAUGAUAUACAGUAUAAAAGUGUAACCACACCUAAAGUACUGCCUUUGUAUUCACAUGCACGUCUUGUAAGCGCACACACACACACACUGCUAAAUGAAACAUAAUGCAUACACUUUUUGUCUCCACACACACACACAUGCACACACGCACACACACACAAUCCCAGCCGCUCACUGCCGAACCACACCCUCCAACCGACUUCACUUCCUGUCUCUUUUUCACCUUUUUCCAUCUCAAGCUCACCUGUAUUCACUUUAUCUUCCUGCAGGCUUUCUUAUCAUUGUGGCUUCUCCCUCAAUCUGACGUUUCUUUAAAUUUAAUUUAGCUUCACAGGCCUGACGGGUGAAAUACAUUUGUGUUGCAGUAGCAUAAGAAAAAUACUCGAUAAAGGAAGAAAGAGCAAUAAAAAGGAGGACGUCUCUGUCUUAUCUCGCCUCUCGCUGGAAGAACUCUCAUUACUCUGCUGUCAGCUGCUGCAGGAGGGAAAGAAAUCUGUAUAGAGGCUUUUAUUUAAGUCGUAGGACAGGUGUGUGCAUACCCGGUGUUACGCUGUGGGGACCGAUGUAGGUUUACACACCUACAUUGUGGGGACUUGCAGCCCAUUCAAACAAACAAGGCUAGUUUAAGUUUUUUACUUUGGGUCAAAUUUUGGUUUUAGGGUGGUUUAUCUCUUCUUACUUGCCUACAUUGUGGGGACACAUUGACUGGUUUAUACACCUACAUUGUGGGGACACACUGACCGGUUUACAUAUUACAUUGUGGGGACACGCUGACCAGUUUAUACACCUACAUUGUGGGUACUACUGACUGGUUUAUACACCUACAUUGUGGGGACACACUGACCAGUUUAUACACCUACAUUGUGGGGACACACUGACUGGUUUAUACACCUACAUUGUGGGGACACACUGACUGGUUUAUACACCUACAUUGUGGGUACUACUGACUGGUUUAUACACCUACAUUGUGGGGACACACUGACCGGUUUGCACACUACAUUGUGGGGACACACUGACCGGUGUACACACUACAUUGUGGAGACACACUGACCAGUUUAUACACCUACAUUGUGGGGACACACUGACCAGUGUACACACUACAUUGUGGGGACACACUGACCAGUUUAUACACCUACAUUGUGGGGACACGCUGACAGGGUUACACACCUACAUUGUGGGGACACACUGACCGUUUUACACACCUACAUUGUGGGGACUUGUGUCCAAUAUCAGCCAAAUAAGGGUGUUAAAGUUUUUUUUUUUAGGGAUAGCGUUUGGUUUUAGGUAACUUCUUACGUUAUGGGGACAAACUAAAGUUUAUACACCUACAUUGUGGGAACUCACUGACCUGUGUCUACACCUACGUUGUGGUGAAUCAAUUUCGGACAAGUAAGGGUGUUUUUAGUUUUUUCUUUAUGUUCAUAUUUUAGGGCGGUUCAUCUAGUCUUAUGUUGUGGGGACAAUCAUAGCUUUACACACCUACAUUGUGGGGACUAGGGCCGAGAACAUGCUUUGUUAUUUCCGUACCUUGAGUGAAGCUUUUUUUCUGAACACCGCAACAUAGUGUUUACAUUUCAGUUACAAAUAUUCACUUCACUUAUCCUGUUGGUUACAGGUGAAGAUCAGUUAAUCUGAUUUUAGCCCAUUUAGUCCUACAUCUUAAUUAUUCUGCUGCUGUGUGUUAAUAUAGCUUGUUUUCCCGGGAUGACAGUGAUAACUUUAAUUAUUACCUGCUUAAAGAGCACACCGGGACAUAUGGAAACAACACGGAGAGAGCUGAAUGUGAAGGGGGAAAAAACAUCUGAGAGCACAACUUUUUAAGUCUGUGAGACGACGGAGACAGAAACACAGUGAGAGAAUUUAGCUAAAUCCAUCAAGAUAAACUCGAGAGAGCAGCGAGAGACGAAGAGAAAAGAGAAAGCGAGACAUCAAUUAAGCCUCCACAGCUAAACACAGCAGGCAGAGCCUCAGGCCGACAUCACCCAACAGAAACAUCAAAAAGACGUCAUGAAGAGAGGAAAAUAUACAAGUUGAGACUAAAUAAAAACACAAUGUCUCUCAGUAAUCGUGAGUUUGCAGAGGAAGAAAAAUUAGAAUACAAAUAAGAGAAAAAUUUGCCUGGUGAUAAUUUAAAGCAGGGAAGCCAAAACUGAAACUUAAAGGUGGGUCAAAAGCAAGAUACAAAAUGAUGCAAGUCUCUAAAGGUUCCUUAAUCUAAAUGUCUUUUGUCCAUUUACCAUUUUCUCUGCGUCUUUUUCGACACACAAAAAAUAUUACACUUACAUAUUUAUAUAAAUAAAAUUGCAACCUUACAAUUUUUAUUUUAUUUUUAAAAACAAAAAAAGUAUGCUUUAAAAAUAUUCUAAAAAUUGUAGCGCUUUUGUUCCUUCCUAGUUAUUAUAAAUAUAUCAUUAAUGUAAUUCACUUUGACUACCCAACUCUGGCAGAUAACUAAAGUUGAGUAGCGCUAAAACAAUUAGUCAAUUAAUAUUUAAUUAUAAUUAUAAUAGUCCCACGACGGGGAAAUUUACCCCGAAAGUCUCUAAAGUUUUUAGUAUUAUUGAGAUUAUUGAUUUUGAUUCUUGCAAUACCUUAUGUUGAUAAAAUUAAGAUGAGUUUAAAAAAAAUUCUUAUUCAUACCAAUGACAAAAAGAAUAAAAACGCAAACUAAUUCAAUCAAUUACAUUUCUACUUUAUUAUAUUAAAACAAUUAAUUUUAUAUCAACAACUAAAUUCUAGUUGUUUAAAAUUGAUAUUAAGAAUAAGGAGAAUGCAGAAAAAUUAACACUUAGUGUAAGUUCAAAUUGUAUUCUUGGUACAAAAGUGAAAAACAAUUUUGCUUUACAAACUUUUCUCAUGAUUUUUAUUUCAAGAUUAUUGUUAUUGAACAGUUUAUAUAUUAUAACAUAAACAUUUAGAAUUCAAUUCUUUAUAUUAUCAUUAUAUUUUUUUAUAAAAAUGUUUUACUUAUUAUUAUACCCAUUCAAAUUUAGCAGAAAAUUAUUAGAAAGGUAAUAAAAAAAUAUAUAUAUUUUAUCUCGGGUAUAUAAAUUUGUUAAAAUCACAAUUUCACUCGUCUUGUCAUUUCCGAUCUUCCGUACUUUUGUUGAUUCAUCAGUUUAUUUCCUUCAAAUAGAAAAGAAUCCGUCUAAUUUAAUCACAGACUGUUAUGGAAAGAUGUUCAUACCUUUGUUGUCUUAAUUCAAAUACGUUUCAAACUAACUCACAUUUUGGCGGUGCGUUCACUUUUCUCGUUCAGGUUUCAGCAGAAGCUUGUGUUAGUGCGUCUGAGCCCUUUAAUUCUGCUGUCUGCCUUUCAGCCAUCUUCCUCCUCCCUCUCGACUUUCAGCCUUCCUUUUGCUUACUCAUCCUCUUGAUCACUUUCCUCGUCCUCUUCAUCAUCCUGUCGUCUUCCCACACCUUCGUCCCUCCUCUGUCGCAUCAUAAAGUUCACUGCUCUCCUCCUCCUUGCCUUACACUAAACCUGUUUACAUGGGAUUAGAAACUCCAGCAGUUUGUCGCUGCUGUUUUUUACCCUUUAAAGGAGUCGGGACUGGUUUCUGUUUUCUGGUGUUCAUGUAAAAUUUUGGGAACUAUUAUUUCUUGUUCACAUUUUGCUCGAAGGGAAACAUCCACCCUCAGUGCUGGAUGGAUUACAGACUAUAGAGCAAUGAAGGAAGGUUUUGGCCAAAAAUCUGAGCUGUUAAAUCCAUAAAUGUGAUGUGAAGUGAUGCUAUGCAUGAAGAGAAAAUCUUCAGGUGCCAAGUUUUUUUAGGGGUGUCACGAUUCUCCGAUUUAAAUUUCGCCUUCUAAGGUCACAAUGCACGAUUUUUGAUUUGUAUUUUUUUCCCACUUUGCCAUUGUUAGACUAUGAAAAGGUAAACAUCAACAGAUCAUUAGUUGUAUUUAAUUUGCAAUGCCAAUAAUACAUUUCAGCAGUCAAUAUGCUGCUGCAAGAACGAGUCCUAAAACUCCCAAAAAUGUGUUAGCACUUCCUGUUCCCUUGCCUCGAAGUCGAUGGGUUUUUUAAUCGUUUUUUGGUUGCCUGAAGGUUUACGACAUUUUCUACGACAUAAAAUACAUCAGCAAAUACCCAACUCGUGAAUUUUGAAGCUUUUACGUGUCUUGUCAACAAGUGGCUAAAUGAGACUAAACGUCAUCACGCUAACAUUAGCCACCUUUAGUUUAGCGGUGAUGACGUCAUGUGACCUGCUGUAGCUCCUUUAUAGCCCAACGUUAGCUUUUUACUUCUGGAGAUUGAAUUCACGUUUCAAAAAUCAUAAAAGUGUUAAUCUGUGGAGAUUAUCCUGCUGGACAAAAAUUUUAAAUAUCAUAAACGUUUGUUUGCCACAGAGAUUAUAUUCUGCUUUAAUCCAAAAUCCAACGGUACAUCCCGUACCGUAAAGAGCAGUGUAGACGCACAAUUGAUUUUAAGGGGAGUUAGCAUGACCGCGGUUCUUUGAAACGUGACUGCAGUUACAAAAAGACACCAGAUCUUCGCCGAAUCUCCGACUCCGCCGUUGGCUGUUGUGCUUCAAAAAGUUCCGUCUUUUAAGUGUUUUUGUAUUUUUCUUCGGACGCUCGCAAGUAGGCGUGCGUGAAGAGAAAACAAAAUACUUCCUGCUUUUGAUUUUGAUGAUGGAACUUUAAAACACAUUUUUAUUGAUUUUGCAUCAAAAUCGUGGCACCCAGACAAGUUCUGUUUUUAUGUCUUUUGAAUGUUUGGACUUUGGGUGGAUUUUCCUUCCUGUUGCGUGUGUUUGCCCUGAAACUGUGAAGUCUCUUGUUUUAAAUGCAUUUCUCUUUAAAAACAAACUGCUCCUGUUUUGUUGUUGUUUACAGAAACAAACAACGACGACUGUAAAUGUAAAGUCUUUCUGGGUUUGGAUGAAGCAAUUAAACGUCAGAAGGAAUUUAAACACCACUGAAGUCAAUUCAUUGAAACCUUUUAAUUUGAAAAUACGACACACGCAACAUUAAUUUCUAAAACGACACAGUAUCUUAAUUGAAAUUCAGAAAAGAAAUGGCCUAUUAGAACUAAAUAUUAUUUCAUAAAUAUAAAUGUAAUGGUGUGUAAAGUUUCACAUUUAAUACGAGCAUAAGACACAGACGUGAUUUUCAAAGUAAAAUAUUUCAAUGCUGUGGUUUUUGUGCCUGGGAAUUACAAAAUAUAAUUACAAAAGAUAUUUCCAAAUUCCAAUUUUCAAUGUAUGAAUAAUUAAACGCAGACAUUUCAGUGGUUUUUAAUAAUUUACUUAUUUCCUGUAAUAACUGAAAUGCGUUAAAUUACAACCAUAUUAUUCGUUGUUUGAAGUCACACCCAGCUGUUUUUGUUUUCUUGUUUUUCCUACAGCGUCGAUGACGUGCAGGUUGUGUGUAUAUGUUUGCGUGAUCAGAGCUCCUCUAUAUUUUCUAAGUGGUUGAAAGUUGUCGUAACAAAACCGAAGUGCAGAUUUAUCUUCCUGCCUUCCGUCUGAGCUCUUUUAUGAGUCCGCGCUCUUGUUUUGUAAAGAAAUAAAACUUCCUCUUGGACCAAA